GACCUUUUGUCUACUGGGCUGCAGGGAUUCUUUUCCUCCUCACCCAGGGCUUGAGGCCAAGAUAGCCCCUGAGGAUUAUGGAUCAUCAUCAUCAUAAGGAGUGAGUGGGCAAUCCUGUUUUCUCACUUCAGACAUGA
ensembl:scaRNA